rnacentral:rRNA from 1 species
CACGUAGGGGGCAAGCGUUGUCCGGAAUUAUUGGGCGUAAAGAGCUCGUAGGCGGCUCGGUAAGUCAGGUGUCAAAUCCUCAGGCUCAACCUGGGGCUCCACCUGAUACUGCUGUGGCUAGAGUCCGGUAGGGGAGCGUGGAAUUCCUGGUGUAGCGGUGAAAUGCGCAGAUAUCUGGAGGAAUACCGGUGGCGAAGGCGGCAUCCUGGACCGGCAUUGACGCUGAGGAGCGAAAGCCAGGGGAGCAAACGGG